rnacentral:tRNA from 1 species
UCCAGGGUAGCUUAGUGGGCAUGGCAUCUGCCGUGUAAGCGGAACACUGGGUUCGUUUCCUAUCCCUGGAC